rnacentral:lncRNA from 1 species
GGCCAUCAUACUGCUUCCAUCUAUAUCCAUGGUUUUAUUGCACAUGUGUGAAGUUUUUGUUGCAGCAAAAGGAUAAGAAAAGGACAAUGGUUGGACUGUUAGAGGACUCCUUGGUCAAUGAUUAGGGGCAGGCCAAUGGCAAAUGGUUAAUAGUUCAAAAGGCUAAAAGGACAUGGUGCACCACAUACAUUAAUUGCAAUGGAAGCAACCAAGAAAUCAUCAACAAACAUGAAGAUUGGAUGUUCAUUGAAGCAAAAAGGACAGGCCAAGUUUGGAUAGUCAAGGGCAAGUGAGGGUUGACUUUGGUCAAAGUUGACCAAAAAGUUAACUGUUGACCAAAGUCAACAAAUGGUCAAAAAUAUAUUUUCUUUGUGUUUCCUUUGUAAAUGGACAAUGGUUUAUUGAUUA